CGAAUAGAGGUGCGGCAAACAUCAGUAGCCGGGAUCAAGGACAGGUAUCCGAUCCCGGGGAAAGGGAAUGCCGCCGAAGGGACAGUGUUGUACCUGCAAGCUGUUGCCUGGGGCGUCGGAGAAUAUCCGCCGGACUGCCACAAUUCUGUGGAGCGCUAUG
rnacentral:ncRNA from 1 species